rnacentral:rRNA from 1 species
GUGAGGAAUUUUCCGCAAUGGGCGAAAGCCUGACGGAGCAAUGUCGCGUGAAGGAUGAAGGCCUAUGGGUUGUAAACUUCUUUUCUCAGAAAAGAAUUAUGACGGUAUCUGAGGAAUAAGCAUCGGCUAACUCUGUGCCAGCAGCCGCGGUAAGACAGAGGAUGCAAGCGUUAUCCGGAAUGAUUGGGCGUAAAGCGUCUGUAGGUUGUUUAAAAAGUAUUCUGUCAAAGAUUAGGGCUUAACCCUAGAUAGGCAGAAUAAACUUUUAAGAUAGAGUUUGGUAGAGGAAGAAGGAAUUCCCGGUGGAGCGGUGAAAUGCGUAGAUAGCGGGAGGAACACCAAAGGCGAAGGCACUCUGCUGGGCCAAUACUAACACUGAGAGACGAAAGCGAGGGGAGCAAAUGGGAUUAGAAACCCGUGUAGUCC